rnacentral:rRNA from 1 species
AGAGUUUGAUCCUGGCUCAGGAUAAACGCUGGCGGCGUGCCUAAUACAUGCAAGUCGAACGGAGGUAUGUAGCAAUACGUGCCUUAGUGGCGAAUGGGUGAGUAACGCGUUGGUGACCUGCCCCGAAGAGGGGGAUAACGGUUCGAAAGGACUGCUAAUACCCCAUGUGGUUAUAAGAGUUAGAGUUCUUAUAUCUAAAGGAGUAAUCCACUUCGGGAGGGGCCUGCGACCCAUCAGCUAGUUGGUAAGGUAAAAGCUUACCAAGGCGAUGACGGGUAGGGGACCUGAGAGGGUGACCCCCCACAAUGGAACUGAAACACGGUCCAUACACCUACGGGUGGCAGCAGUAGGGAAUAUUGCUUAAUGGGCGCAAGCCUGAAGCAGCAACGCCGCGUGUGCGAUGAAGGCCUUCGGGUUGUAAAGCACUUUUUGCUGGGAAGAGGAAGGACGGUACCGGCAGAAUAAGCCUCGGCUAACUACGUGCCAGCAGCCGCGGUAAAACGUAGGAGGCAAGCGUUAUCCGGAUUUACUGGGUGUAAAGCGUGUGCAGGCGGUCUGUUAAGUUGGAUGUGAAAGCUCCCGGCUCAACUGGGAGAGGUCGUUCAAGACUGGCAGACUGGAGAGCAGUAGGGGAAGGUGGAAUUCCGGGUGUAGUGGUGAAAUGCGUAGAUAUCCGGAGGAACACCAGUGGCGAAGGCGGCCUUCUAGACUGCGUCUGACGCUCAGACACGAAAGCUAGGGUAGCAAACGGGAUUAGAGACCCCGGUAGUCCUAGCCGUAAACGAUGUGAACUUGGCGCCGGUGGGGUAAAACCAGUCGGUGCCGAACAAACGCGAUAAGUUCACACCUGGGGACUACGGCCGCAAUCGAAUCCCGCGGCCGCAUGGCGGCCGGAACAUGCAACUCGGGCCAUCCCAG